rnacentral:rRNA from 1 species
GUCCUGGCUCAGGAUGAACGCUAGCGGCAGGCUUAACACAUGCAAGUCGAGGGGCAGCGUGGAGUAGCAAUACUCUGACGGCGACCGGCGGAAGGGUGCGUAACACGUGAGCGACUUGCCCGAUACAGGGAGAUAACCGGUGGAAACGCCGACUAAUAUCCCAUACGACGUGAGGCUGCAUGGCCUUGGGUUGAAAGGUUCGCCGGUAUCGGAUAGGCUCGCGGGACAUUAGCUUGAUGG